rnacentral:lncRNA from 1 species
GGGCUUUUAGGAAAGUCAGUCUGCUUUUGAUGAGGAGGUUCAGGAAGGCAUUAUUUGUCUCAAUCUAUCCCCCCUACCCAACAGUGAACAAGAAAGCAGAUAUCCUUGCUGACUGUUGGCAGCCGUUGUGGGACCACAAAGGCACCAGCCUCAGGAGAUGGGAAGACUGAGUUGCCAGGGACGUUGCUGAGCCAUUAGAGCCAUCCUUACCCACAAGCCCACCCCACCUUGGGACUUCCUCUUGGAACAUGUCACCUUCCCAUGUUUUCCAAGUCGUAAAAGUAGUACAUGUCCAUCACAGACAAAUGGGGAGUGCAGAAAAGCACAAAGAAUAAAACAGAGACAGCAGGGUUCAGGCUUCGAGUUGUGGUGCAAUUGGCCCACAUCCACCCCACCCUCUCUUCACGCAGCAGAUGACUGGGACAUAGAGAAGCUGAUGGCGCCACUGCCACCGAAUUUCCACCUGCAGCCCUUCUCGGGGGCCACCACCAUGCUCCUCAACAGCUGUCACUGACAGGACAGAGCUUGAGGAUCUUGAGGAGCUGCUGACCCUGCAGAACCGCUCUGAGACCAGGGGGUGCUUUUCCAGGUGAAACAAUUCAUGGCUAGGCUGAUUUAACUAAUGGGUUUUUCAUCAGAGUAAUACAUAUUCAGAUAUGUCCCAUGCUCAGUGAUGGCAUCAAGCAAUGUCAGGAUUAGAUGGGAAAUUAGAGGCAAUUUGCUCCAAGUAUCUACUUGUGUACCCUCCACAGA